rnacentral:lncRNA from 1 species
UUGCAUACCUGAGGUGUCGAGCUUCCCAAAUGAGUCUUUGAUCUUCAAAUUGAAUCUUCUUUCCAAAAACUUCGCUUUUAACUCUUCAAGACUCCAUUCGACUUUACGAAAUUCACCAACUUAGAAAAUCCUUAACAAUCUCCCCCCCUUUGGCGAUUUCGUGACAAAACAUAUUACAAUACUCAAACAAACCUCAGAAACAGUAAAAAGAAAGAAGAUUAUCGCAAUCAUCAAACGACAAUCUCCAGCAUAAUCGAUCCAAUAAAAUAAAAUUACAUUUUUCUCACAAUCCUAAUACAAACUCUAUGACUUAGACAUGGAGUCUUGGAGUCUUGAAAGUUCCUGCAAAAAUAUUCUCAAAGUACAAUCAAGAUUCAAAAGUUUUCAUUAAAGAUCAAACAUAAACAGUCAUACAGUCAGUCAUACAGUCAAGUUGUUAGAAAACCAAAAAUCUAAAAACAUCAUCUAACCAAAAAUCUAAAAAGCAAGCAUCAUCAUCAUCUCCCUUUUUUUGUCAAGAAAACGUCGAAACGACAAAAAGAGGAACCCAAA